CAUUCUGCGCACGCUCUAUCACGAGCACAUCGUCAAGUACAAGGGCUGCUGCGAGGACCAAGGCGAGAAGUCUCUGCAGCUGGUCAUGGAGUACGUGCCCCUGGGCAGCCUCCGAGACUACCUGCCCCGGCACAGCGUCGGGCUGGCCCAGCUGCUGCUCUUCGCCCAGCAGAUCUGCGAGGGCAUGGCCUAUCUGCACGCGCAGCACUACAUCCACCGAGACUUAGCCGCGCGCAACGUGCUGCUGGACAACGACAGGCUGGUCAAGAUCGGGGACUUUGGCCUAGCCAAGGCCGUGCCCGAAGGCCACGAGUACUACCGCGUGCGCGAGGAUGGGGACAGCCCUGUGUUCUGGUAUGCCCCAGAGUGCCUGAAGGAGUAUAAGUUCUACUAUGCGUCCGAUGUCUGGUCCUUCGGGGUGACCCUGUAUGAGCUGCUGACGCACUGUGACUCCAACCAGAGCCCCCCCACGACGGAGUUUCACACUUGUAGCCUAGGCUGGAGUGCAAUGGCACAAUCUCGGCUCACUGCAACCU
rnacentral:sRNA from 1 species